rnacentral:misc_RNA from 1 species
GAUGAAGAACGUAGCGAAAUGCGAUAAGUAAAGCGAAUUGCAGAAUUCCGUGAGUCAUCGAAUCUUUGAACGCACAUUGCGCCCUCUGGUAUUCCGGAGGGCAUGCCUGUCUGAGCGUCAUUGUCAACCCUCAAGCUCAGCUUGCUGUUGGGUCCCCGUCGUUGCUUUAACGGCGGACCCGAAAGGUAAUGGCAGAGUCCGUGAGACCCUAGACGCAGCGAGCUUCUAGCACGCGUCUGGACGUUUUUCGGGCUCGGUCUUAACUAGAUGAUAACUUCCGAUUGACCUCAGAUCAGGUAGGGAUACCCGCUGAACUUAAGCAUAUCAAUAAGCGGAGGA